rnacentral:tRNA from 1 species
CAGAUAGAAGCCCGCUGGAUAGGGCGAUUAGCUGUUAACUAAUUUUUUGUGGGAUCGAGGCCCGCUUAUCUAG